UAAUCGCGGAUCAGCAUGCCGCGGUGAAUACGUUCCCGGGCCUUGUACACACCGCCCGUCACACCAUGAGAGCCGGUAACACCCGAAGUCAGGAGCCUAACCGCAAGGGGGGCACUGCCGAAGGUGGGAUUGGUGAUUAGGGUGAAGUCGUAACAAGGUAGC
rnacentral:rRNA from 1 species